rnacentral:tRNA from 1 species
GCUGCUGUAGCUCAGCUGGUAGAGCAACUGAUUCGUAAUCAGUAGGUCGGUGGUUCGAGUCCACUCAGCAGCACCA